rnacentral:lncRNA from 1 species
GGAGCAGAAGCAGCACAGUUCCCUGCCUUCAAUCCAGAGCAGCUUUAAUAUUGCAGCAAUGUGGAUGUCUGCAUAAAAGCAGACUUGUUUUUUUUUCUCUCCACUUCUGCCUCCUGGAAAGAAUAUUCUCUUAAUCUUUUGGAAUUAAACCAGCCAAAUAGAGUGUAACAUGUUUCUUAAUCAUUUGGGCCACCUUCUCCUUUCUGAAUGGAUGUUGGUUUCAGUGGGAAUGUUUUCUGUGGUUGUGGAUCAUUGAGAAGAUGGUGCUGACUUGCUCUGGUAAGCUGAAGAAACAACCAAGCACAUGGCAUGAAGUGAAAUAAGGACAAAUGCAAGAGACACCCUGGAGACAGGCAACUGAGGACAAAGAAAAUCUGUGGGGAAAGGGUGGUGAGCCAGGUGCCCACCUGUCAGCAUUAUUGCUGAGGCACAUCUCAGCCAGAGCCUUCAUAUGCAAUUUGCCCAAGGAAACAGCAUUGAUCUGACUUCAAAAGGAGAUGAACUGACUAACAUGAGAGCUUGUUUCAUACAGUUUUGAUUGGAGAGAGGAAGAGAGAGUUGUUGGAGGUAUGGUGCUGCCAUUGCUGCUGAAAUGAGUGACUUGGAAGUCCUAAAAUUGUUAAGAUGUUCUGUGCUAAGGUGUGUGGGAAAAGAUUGCUCCAAGUCACAAUAAAUAAUAAGCUGACUAGGUGAGGCCAUAUCCUGGUUUAAAAAAAGAAAUGCAGUGGGAUUGUUGACAUGGGUGUCAAGAAUAUAAGGAUGAGCAAAGCAAUUAGGCAUGGACAUUUCACCAAGACAGUGCUAAAAGAAUUGUGUUCAGUUCUGCACUCCACACUGGAGGAGUAGUGAGAUUAAAGGAAGCCACCACAGAGAAGGGUGGGUAUUGAUGUUCCCUUACCAAGAAAUGCUUUCAAGCCAUUACAUACAUGCUUUAUAUUACUUCAAAAGCAGAACUUUUGAAAGUGCUUUUAAAUAUUUGGGAAAUUUAUUCAUAAUAGCCAAAAAGUAGAAAGAAGCCAAAUGUCCCUCACUUGACGAAUGGAU